GACGAACGCUGGCGGCGUGCUUAACACAUGCAAGUCGAACGGUAAGGCCCCAGCUUGCUGGGGUACACGAGUGGCGAACGGGUGAGUAACACGUGGGUGACCUGCCCCGCACUUCGGGAUAAGCCUUGGAAACUGGGUCUAAUACCGGAUAGGACCGCACCGUGAGGGUGGGGUGGAAAGUUUUUCGGUGUGGGAUGGGCCCGCGGCCUAUCAGCUUGUUGGUGGGGUAAUGGCCUACCAAGGCGGCGACGGGUAGCCGGCCUGAGAGGGUGGACGGCCACAUUGGGACUGAGACACGGCCCAGACUCCUACGGGAGGCAGCAGUGGGGAAUAUUGCACAAUGGGCGGAAGCCUGAUGCAGCGACGCCGCGUGGGGGAUGACGGCCUUCGGGUUGUAAACUCCUUUCACCAUCGACGAAGGUUUUCUGACGGUAGAUGGAGAAGAAGCACCGGCUAACUACGUG
rnacentral:rRNA from 1 species